rnacentral:rRNA from 1 species
GAUGAACGCUGGCGGCGUGCCUAAUACAUGCCAGUAGAACGCUGAAGGAAGGAGCUUGCUCUUUCCGGAUGAGUUGCGAACGGGUGAGUAACGCGUAGGUAACCUGCCUGGUAGCGGGGGAUAACUAUUGGAAACGAUAGCUAAUACCGCAUAACAGUAGAUGUUGCAUGAUAUCUACUUAAAAGGUGCAAUUGCACCACUACCAGAUGGACCUGCGUUGUAUUAGCUAGUUGGUGAGGUAACGGCUCACCAAGGCGACGAUACAUAGCCGACCUGAGAGGGUGAUCGGGCACACUGGGACUGAGACACGGCCCAGACUCCUACGGGAGGCAGCAGUAGGGAAUCUUCGGCAAUGGACGGAAGUCUGACCGAGCAACGCCGCGUGAGUGAAGAAGGUUUUCGGAUCGUAAAGCUCUGUUGUAAGAGAAGAACGAGUGUGAGAGUGGAAAGUUCACACUGUGACGGUAUCUUACCAGAAAGGGACGGCUAACUACGUG